GGGAUAACAGGAGGAAACUCCUGCUAAUACCGCAUAGCCAUGAGCACCGCAUGGAGCUCAUGCCAAAUAUCCUUUCGGGGAUAGCGCAGGGAUGGACCUAUGGCGCAUUAGCUUGUUGGCGGGGCAACGGCCCACCAAGGCAACGAUGCGUAGCCGGCCUGAGAGGGCGGACGGCCACAUUGGGACUGAGACACGGCCCAGACUCCUACGGGAGGCAGCAGUAGGGAAUUUUCGGCAAUGGGGGAAACCCUGACCGAGCAACGCCGCGUGAGCGAAGAAGGCCUUCGGGUCGUAAAGCUCUGUUGUAAAGGAAGAACGGCGCAUACAGGAAAUGGUAUGCGAGUGACGGUACUUUACCAGAAAGCCACGGCUAACUACGUGCCAGCAGCCGCGGUAAUACGUAGGUGGCGAGCGUUAUCCGGAAUCAUUGGGCGUAAAGAGGGAGCAGGCGGCCGCAAGGGUCUGUGGUGAAAGACCGAAGCUAAACUUCGGUAAGCCAUGGAAACCGGGCGGCUGGAGUGCGGAAGAGGAUCGUGGAAUUCCAUGUGUAGCGGUGAAAUGCGUAGAUAUAUGGAGGAACACCAGUGGCGAAGGUGACGGUCUGGGCCGCAACUGACGCUCAUUCCCGAAAGCGUGGGGAGCAAAUAGGAUUAGAUACCCUAGUAGUCCACGCCGUAA
rnacentral:rRNA from 1 species